rnacentral:rRNA from 1 species
GCUAAACGCGAAGAACCUUACCUGGCCUUGACAUCCAUGGAAUCCCGAAGAGAUUCGGGAGUGCCGCAAGGAACCAUGAGACAGGUGCUGCAUGGCUGUCGUCAGCUCGUGUCGUGAGAUGUUGGGUUAAGUCCCGCAACGAGCGCAACCCUUGUCCUUAGUUGCCAUCAUUAAGUUGGGGAACUCUAAGGAGACCGCCAGCGAUAAGUUGGAGGAAGGUGGGGAUGACGUCAAGUCAUCAUGGCCUUUAUGGCCAGGGCUACACACGUGCUACAAUGGCAGGUACAGAGGGAAGCCAACCAGCAAUGGGGAGCCAAUCCCAGAAAGCCUGUCUUAGUCCGGAUUGCAGUCUGCAACUCGACUGCAUGAAGUUGGAAUCGCUAGUAAUCGCAGAUCAGCAUUGCUGCGGUGAA